ensembl:snRNA U6 U6 spliceosomal RNA
AUGCUCCCUUUGGCAGCACCUAUACUAAAAUUGGAAUGAUUAACAGAGAAGAUUAGUAUGGCCCCAGCGCAAGGAUGACCCACAAAUUCAUGAAGCAUUCCAUACUUUU